AGCACUCUGAGACUGAAUUUCCUCCUUGGCACUGAGGCUGAGAUAUGCUGAAGAAAUGUCAGUUAACAGGUUAAAAGCCACCUGGAAUCCGGACUUUGCAGGAGGACCUCCAUGAGCGGACACCCCGAUGCAAAAAUGUGAAGAAAAAAGAACACAGUUGAAAUAUCUCCCUCUUUUAAAUAAGUACCAGAAGGAAAUAAGUGUGACAUUCAAAGCACAAGGGCCGAAUAUAUCCACUGGACAUGCAGUUAUUGCUAAGAACUACCAAAUUUUGAACCACGCUUGAAAAAACUAAGGACAAUGGCAGAAGAAGUAUUCUUGCUUGCAUUCAGAGGAACACCUGUGCUUCCCAGUCUGGUGAAAGAGAAAUGAAGGUCACUGCUUAUGCAAGAGAUCAGCUAAAUCUGAGGGCUAAGCAGCCCCAAAGGAAUGUUACAAUCACGUCAUUCCGUAGCCCGAAUCUCGCUGUCAGCACAUGGGUUGGACUCAGCCUGCAGAAGACUUUCCACACACCCUUCCAUCUUCCCUCCUUGUUGUUCAGGUGGCUACUGAAUGUUUCCUUCACCUCAGUCACCCGAACAGUUAAAUCCCUCCUGCUGCUGCUAUGAGCAGUUGACGUCCACGCUGCCUGCACCACUACGUACUCUGCAAGGUGCCCAGGAGCCGUCAGUUAUCUCGAGUUUGGCUGGACACCAUCUUCCAGGAGGUCUGUACAUUUUCCUUCUACUUUUCCUCCUCCUCCUCGGCACUACAGCCUUCGUGCUGUCUCAGAGCUCAUACAGUGAGAGCGAUGGUCAUCCUGUCUCCUGUCUGCUCCUCGUGUUUGGUUCAUCUGUCCAGAACAUCACUGAAAUCCCUUCAUAUUCCCAGGGACCUGAGAACACUGCUAAUUCAUGGAGAGGGAGACGAGCAAAGGAAAACUUGUGCAAUGAACUGCUACAGUUAACCUGGAGGAAAUGCAACCAGUGAGCUGAAAGUAUUGACAGUCAGUGUGCAAUAAUUAUUUAUCCUCAUUGAAUGAUCAAAAACCCUAUUAAUGGUCAGGACCAGCAGUAUGUUGUCUGGAAUAUCCCCACCCAAAAGAGGGCCCUGGUUCACACUGCAGAACUGCCUCAGGCUUCAAGAAGUGCCUCCUUUUGGGUGAAAUGACACUGGAAGAUACACAGUUCUUCAGCCAUCAGUGAUGUUCAGCCCUGGGGUGCAACGUUAGCUGGACUGGGGCUGCCUCCAUUCAAGGCUGACAAAUUCAGGAAUGAUUAAACCUGAAUUUACGAAGAUAAUUGGAAAAAAAAGGAGAUUAGCAGAUGAGAGAAGGAAGAAGAAAAGCCUAAAAAUAUUUGCUUUUUCAUCUGGAGUGGUGGUGGGAGGGAGAGAAAAGAAGCAAUUCACGCUGACUGAAGCGGUGUUCCUGAAACACGACUGACUUGCCACAUAUCAAACUUUUGUACAGGAAACAAGAAAACAAAGUUGGUGGAGAAUACAUAUACAUAUAUGCGUGAAAGCAAACUACACUUACUGAUGACGAACAGUUCCAGGAGACGGAAAUCUUGAGCAUGCCAGGACUGGCAGAAUCGGAGAAGAAUAUGCCUGAGAUGACCAGACUGAGACGAAACAGUGUGGGUUUUUUUUUGUUUGUUUGUUUGUUUUUUUGUUUGUUUGUUCGUUUUCCUAAGAGGACAGUUUGUGCCUGUAGCAGUACUGAACUGAGGCAUCUCCAGGGACGCUGGAUUGAAGUGGACACUUAGGAGGUGCCCACGCAGCCGUGUGACCGUGGCCUGUCCUCUUACGGGUAAACGUUCUGCUAGCAGACCGGCAGGCCUGAAUUCAUUGUGAUUAAAUUCCUGACGGGAAGGAAAGGAGACCGGUCAGGUCUUUGGAUCCAGUGUUUCAGAGGCAGAGUUCCUUUAAACUGGAAUUCAAAGGUGCUUUUCCUGCACCCCUUCACUGGACACAGCUUACAGAUGGUUUCUGUAAGCCUGUGUAGAUGUGCCUGGGACAUCUUUCUGCUGCAUAUCCAAGCCAGUGGUCUGCCGAUUUGUGUGUUUAAUCGUAGCUUGAAAAUAUCUGUAGGUUUGAGUCUGUGAUCGACAAAGCUUUGAAGUUUAGUUUUCUGACACUACCUGAAUCGCAUCUGUGCUG